rnacentral:rRNA from 1 species
AACGAACGCUGGCGGCAGGCUUAACACAUGCAAGUCGAACGCUCACCUUCGGGUGGGAGUGGCAGACGGGUGAGUAACGCGUGGGAACGUACCCUUUGGUUCGGAAUAACCCAGGGAAACUUGGGCUAAUACCGGAUACGCCCUUCGGGGGAAAGGUUUACUGCCGAAGGAUCGGCCCGCGUCGGAUUAGCUAGUUGGUGGGGUAAAAGCCUACCAAGGCGACGAUCCGUAGCUGGUCUGAGAGGAUGAUCAGCCACACUGGGACUGAGACACGGCCCAGACUCCUACGGGAGGCAGCAGUGGGGAAUAUUGGACAAUGGGCGCAAGCCUGAUCCAGCCAUGCCGCGUGAGUGAAGAAGGCCUUAGGGUUGUAAAGCUCUUUCAGCGGGGAAGAUAAUGACGGUACCCGCAGAAGAAGCCCCGGCUAACUUCGUGCCAGCAGCCGCGGUAAUACGAAGGGGGCUAGCGUUGUUCGGAAUUACUGGGCGUAAAGCGCGCGUAGGCGGGUGAUUAAGUCAGGGGUGAAAUGCCGAGGCUCAACCUCGGAACUGCCUUUGAUACUGGUCGCCUGGAGUUCGGGAGAGGUAAGUGGAAUUCCGAGUGUAGAGGUGAAAUUCGUAGAUUUUCGGAGGAACACCAGAAGCGAAGGCGGCUUACUGGCCCGAUACUGACCCUGAGGCGCGAAAGCGUGG